GACAAGUGUAGGAGAAGCAGGGCCAUGGCCAAACACAAAAGCAUUGAGUGUGUCUGACCAAAAGUAUGAGGCAGCUAUCAGUAGUGACUCAUUUCUCUCCAUAUCAGCAAGAGACAAUCUAAUGCACUGAUCUAAUUUCCGUUCACCCCAUUGGACCUCAUUUGAGUUACUGACUCUUAGGAACCAAUCCUUCCAUCCCUUGGUAGGACUGGGCCAGGAACGGAAGGCAUCUUUCCAUAGAUCUAGAGAAAAAUUCUCAGCUCUAAAAGGGAUUCUGUUUGUCUCUGCGUUUAUAAGAUCGGUGGGAUCUAAGUUUCCCAGUGGACCAAGGCAUUGGAUAUGGGGUUGAUCGGUAGGGAUUACGAUCUUGUUGGCCAAAUCCUAAAGAUUUUAUGGAUAAAAGAAAAAGAAAAAAGGGAAUAUUCAGUAAAAGGAAUUGCGG
rnacentral:lncRNA from 1 species